rnacentral:lncRNA from 1 species
GUUUUUCAUGAAUUCCGACUCUUAUGAAUUUAUGAAAUCGAAUUGGCUAAACCUUGUCUCACCUGGUCAAGUUCGGUUUCUGUGCAAUCCUCAGACACUUCAUAAGGCAAUCAAACUUUGUUUCAUCAUUCUACAGUACAUAUUGGCUACACAACACAUCAAUUAGCCCAUGAAGGUCAGCCAUUUUACGCAACAAUGAGACGGGUGGUUUUCACUUGAUUGACAGUGUCUUGGUCCAAUGACCACCUAUCGUUUUGAAACAUAGGUAGCUAGAUAGCCAAUGAGCUGGGCUUUCCAUGAGUAAGUGAUCGCCCUUUGUAGGGCAAAUGGCUGUUAAGCUAGAGUUGUUUGUAACAGGAUUCAUCCUCAAUUUAAAAUCAACAGGAUGAAGGGAAGUUUACGUUACGCAGCGGUUCGCUUUCUUCUACAAACUUUUUUCAAAACUGAAAAAGUACAACAUGGCUACUAAGAGUGGAAAAGUCCAAGUAUACAAAUUUGGAUGAGAUUAUUGCAGAAAUUGAGAGGGAGAGUGACACAGAAGGAGUGGAUGAGGAGUCUGACUGAGGAGUUUUUAUUACAGCGCAAUAAAGAUUUUUGGAAGAAAAAUAUACUUUUAGAUCAGAGGCCACACAGGAAGACUUGGAGACUAUUCCUUCCAUCCAGCCAGGCUGCAAGAAACACAACCCAAAAGGAUCGGAGCCCCGGGGCAUGUGCCCUGCGUGACCAUUAGGUAAUCCUGCCCUGGGAGUAUGUUUGACCAUGCUAGCAUGAAGAGCUUUGGAAGUGGAAGCUCUUGCACCGUGGGAAGUGAUGUAGACCCCACUAAGAGGCUCCUGGAACAAGGGUUUAGAGUGGACAUCAUUGGGGUGAACGCUGAAGACACCACUGGCUUGGCAAAGGCCUGUGGACAUUCAGCCAUCCCUCCCAAGGAGUAUGAGGUAACCACAGGUAACCAGAUAGCCGCAGAUGCUACCACCAGCGAGAUGAAGGAGAAGUCCAAUAAGCAACUUCUCCUCUUUGCAUCUCUGCAGCCAUAGCAAGGGUCUUCUGCCUCCCGUGCAAGAAGACCUGCAAGCAUGGGGAGACAACAUACCAUUUGCAUUUGUUACAUAUGUUUCUAAAAGAAUAAGUUAUGUUUCUAACAAAAACUAUGAUUAUCUACUUUGGUUCUGUUACUUAAAGAUUACAAGCAACAUUUUCCUUGUCUUAACGCUGUUGUCAAAGUUCACUGCAAAAAGUGAAAAGCACCUGAAAAGUUUGUUUGAAAGAACAGUGCCGCCUUCACAUACAUACAUUCAGGUGCAAUGUUGUCUUAGUGGUAGUUGAGUGACCUUAAAUUCCUCGUGCAACGCAUGUGCUUUUGUCCACCACAUAUUUAUGGCAUCAGUGGCCCUAGAAAGUAUUUAAACAAGGUAUUUUGUGUUUAACAUGAGAGGGGGAAAUGUGAUUGAACAAUUGCCAUAUUAAAACCAUUUCCCUUAUUAUCUGGCAACAUGCACCAGACUGACCUCUCAUUUUAUCUCUUAUCACUUAGAGCAAGUGGAUUAAAUUCUAUAAAUCAUCACCGGUUAAUGAAAGACAUUUAGGGGUGUUUACUGGUCGUUAUACAAUAUUAGGGUUUGUGCCCAAUAAUUAUGUAAAACUAAUUGUACAUGUAAAUAGCCCACUGUCAUUGGGGUCCAUGGUUUCAGGUUGAUCAGGUGGAAGAGUAUUGCUAUAUCGGUCAUCUUUAAAGUAAUUGGUGAACACUAGUUGUCCUAAUCAUGUGCAUAACUAACUGUAUGGACCUAUAGUAGUUUACUACAAUCAGACCUGGGUCCAAUACAUUUUUUAAAUAUUUGAAAUACUUGAGGUGGGAUCGAUUUAGCUUGCCUGACAUGCAGAGUUUGCACUCUGGGGACUAUUCCAUUGGUUCCAAUGUGCCUGAUAAGCUAAAUCAAGCAUGCACCUAGUACUUGAAAUACAUAGCCUUUUCGAUCCAGUUCUGACUACAAUAAUUUAUGUGACAAAAAUAUGAUCAAAUUAAAACACAACAGAAUAUCUAUUUUUGUCUAAUAUUCAAGUUAGUGGAUAAACUUGAUGAAUUACUUUUUAACAAUUAGUCUAAUGGAGGCUUCCAAUAGAGUCUAUACCCCAUCUCGGUCACCAGAGGGCACUUAUGUUUUGUUAUUUGGAGCCCAGAUUGGCUCCUUAGUAGGCCCACUGUAGUUUACUACAUAGAAAUAUAAUUGCAUUCUAGUUCUAUGGUUUACUACUCCUAGGAUUCACUUUAAUUUGCAGUUAUAUAAAGGAACACAAUUAUUCCAAAUAACAAGAAAGUUAAUACAUUAAGUUUUGAACAUGAAGUUUUUUGUCAACGGUGUCAUAGUCUAAAUCUACUACCCUAAUCUUACUGAUAUGAGGGUAUUUCAAGUGGACUAUUGCUGCACUGUUAUCUUUACCUUUUCUCAUUCAUCUGCAUUUACAUCUAAUACAUUUGUCUUCCCCAAUGUAUGAGUCAUGAUUAUCGUGAUUUCAGAGUCUUUCUAACCUAAUUCUCAUAGUGGAUAUAAGCACGGUUUUCGAUUGAGACUUACACCUUUAUCAUUUAUAUUCAAAAGAUGUAGUAUUGAUUUUAACCACAAUAACAAUUUCACCAAUAUUUUUCUGUGUGGAGCAACCUGUCUCUAUUGACCUUACCAUUAUGGGGUCUUAAUAUUUGCUUCUAUGAUUGUGAAGACAUUUUUUAAAAUCAAUUGGUGAAGAAAAUAAACUUAACUAUAUCUAAUGUAUUUUUUAACAAGAUGAUAGGCUCAUUGAAUGAAGACCUUUCUUUGUGGGUGAUGAUUUAGUGCAAUGAGUGCAAUCUAAAGUGAUGGAUUUCUUUCCCAGGCAUCUUCAAAUACAAACC